rnacentral:lncRNA from 1 species
CCACGGAGAGUGGACAAAUGGUACUUUCCACGAGUAACUUCUUCAGGAGUCGUACUGUCACAAGCAAGCUUGGUUCCGAUCAGGUGAAAAGGAGAGCUCAGAAAUUGUUUCUGAGAAGGGAUUGAUAACCCUUGCAGGAGCACCUCAAUUCAUGGCUAAGAAUGCAAGGGUGGGGGAAGAAUGACCUCAAAUGAAACAGGAGAUCUUGUAUGGUUCUGUGCAGUAUUAUGCCCUGGAAAGUGUGACAGCAUCAGCCCUUGCAGUAUUAAUAACUGGCAACAAUCAGGGAGGCAUUGUUGCAUGUAAUUUUGAGCCAAUGAAAUGAAAAUAGUAGUGAUGAUUGUUGGAAAAGUUAGUCUCUUAGGUGAAAGAAAAAGAGAAACAAAUAUUAAAUGAACAAAGAAAUAGGCUGAAGGCCUCUGAAAUCAAUUCUAUUUUUUUUAAUAAGCUGCCCAAUUUUCAGCUAUAAAAUUAGGUUUAAAUAACAGAAUUAGUAUACCAAGGUAUUUCGUUUGUUUGUGUUAAGCAUCCAAUGUAACAUAGUUGGGUUUUAUGUUCUUUGACAAUGAAGAGCAAUAUGAGGCUGGUUGUUUCAUCUCGUGGGCUGGGGAGGUUAAUGCUUGAACAUUAGAAAGAAGAAGGUGAUUAUCUAGUUUUGUGUUUUCUGUUAAAUAUGCCUGCCAAAACUACAAUUCUAACAUUGCUGCAAAAAUUGGCUUCUGUUUAUAUAUUGUUCUCCAGAGUAAGAGAUAUUUAGAAAUUUAAGUAAAUUCACAAAUUUGGGGUGGGGGGGAAAGAAAAUAUAUUUUCAAAUUUUCAGCCUGGAUAAUCACAAUUCUUGAUAAUGCAGAUAAAAGGAGAGUUAUUCUAAAUUGGUAGCAUCGUCAUUAUAAAUACAUUUAAAAAGAAGAAGAAGGUAGAUUAGUUAUUGUGUGUAAAUUAUAAUAGCAUGUGUGUCUGGGCCUGUGUACAAAUAUGUGCUUGCACUCAAUAAGGCUGCUCUUGAGGAAAGCUAACAUGAAGGUUUUAGGAAAUGGACCAUGUUGAAAAUCCUGCCAGCGAGCAAGGUGUACCUUCCAAUUUUUCUGAUCUCUAUGAUGUUAGAGGAACACCAAAUGCUGUAUUUUACUCUGAUUCAGUUAACUUUAUUUUGGUACUGCCAUUUAUAUUAACUUAAAGCAAAACUGUGCUUUUUAAAAACAGUAUUUUAUAAUUUUCCAAAACUAACCUCAAUUUGAAAAAGGUGUAAUGUUUCUUUACACCCUGGGGGUUUCCUCCCAUCAGACCAUGUGGGCUUUGGCCAUGACUUUCCAAAAAUGACAGGAGAAUCAUUCCACUGGAAACACAUUAACCCAAUACUCAAAAGUUCAAGUUGACAGGUUGAGUGAUUUUCCUCUUUUGCUUCAAUCAGAUUAUGGCUACCCAUGCCGUGGCCAUGGUAAAUAAAUGCAUAUUUGCACUAUCUUGCUUAAUGAGCAAAUCUGUGUGUCCACUGUUUCUGAUGACAUCUGGCAUUGGUGUGUAAAUUGUACUGUCCUGAGUCUGCAUGUUGUCCACACAGAUGUGUUUUUAGUUGUUUCAAUUGUGUUUAAUUCAUUUACUUCUUUGUAGGAAUCAGUGUUUCUGAACAUUUUUCAUAAAAAACAAAAAUUCCUUUUCAUUCCCAGACUUUCUAAGUGGAUAUACUUCACAGGUUUUUCAGCCUUUCUCUUCCUGUCUCUUGGUCAGAACUACUCAUGGAGGCAUUAAUCUACACUGUGGUCUUGAAAUAAAUGAAUUUCACUAAGGCUGCUAUGGAGAAUAAAAUCUUUGGUAUUUUUCUUAUGUAAGAAGCACAUUUGCAAGAAUCACAGAGAAAAUGACAAACUAAUGGUCUAGAAUUGAAUCACUGCUACACUUUUAAUAAUGCAAUGACAUAAAAACCAUCAAAGUAAAACUAACAAUUCAUUUCUUGCCCCCAGGAAAUAUUAGAAGGAGAUUAAUGCAGAUGAGUCACUAUUGCUUACACAGCACCUCUUCCAGGAGGAAUGCCUGACUGACACCAUAAUGAAGGCAUAAAUAGAUCCUAAUGCAGUUGUGAAGUCACCAAAGAAAAUUGUGCCCACCCUUGGCUGUGACCUAUAAUAAAUGCCUAUUUCUUAAGGGUAUAAUGCCCUGAUUCUCUGCAGAAUAUCUUUGCAGCUAAAUAUAUACCAGAGAAGCAAGCGUUAUAUUUUGAUCUGUUAUCUUUAAACACAUGAUAUCUCUUCAUUUUAUGGAAAAUUAGAUUUCCCUGUAAAUUGCACAGUGGUUUGCAGUCAGUCCAAGGUGGACCCAGAUAGGAUCACCACUGAUUCAAAGAGCUGGAAGGGUCCUAAAGAUUUGUAGUUCAAGUGUCAUAAACAUGUAAUAUAAACAUACCGAGAGUGGAGAAGAGACUUGCCCAGGCUCACACAGGAAGUUAACAAGAUGAACAAGGACCAGAACCCAUUCAUUUAACCAAUAUUCUCUUUUCAUUGUUCACCACUAAGCUGCCUGGAGCAUGGCAGCCUCUUGCUUCUGAUGAACCCUCUGACUUCCUAUCAUUCCUUCUUUGGAAUAUGCAAGAAAAGAAAACUCAUGGAAAAUAUUUCUCUGGAAGUUUCACAAUCUUGUUUCCUUGAACCAACCGCAGAAAGGUAUUCUAAGCAGAAUUCACACAUUUCUCUGGAAAUUCAUCAAAAUGCUGCUUUUGCCUAAUGAAUUUUUCUCAAAUGGGGAUGAUAAGUGCAGAGGUGAACUCAGAUCAGUCAUCAGUUUACCUACUAGGUGCAUUUUUUUUGUUACUGUUUUUAUUUGUUUAUUUUUCUUCCCCCCAGCAUUGGCUGCUGUUUGUUUCUACUCCCUACACCAUGAUGAACCACAUGAAAAACACAAAACCAAACAAGCACCUUCUCCUUUCUAAUGACAAACAAGUAAC